rnacentral:rRNA from 1 species
GGCGCACGGGUGAGUAACACGUGGGUAAUCUGCCCUUGAGUUUGGGAUAACCCCGCGAAAGCGGGGCUAAUACUGGAUAAGACCACGGGGACCAAAGUCCCUGGGGUAAAAGGUGGCCUCUAUUUAUAAGCUACCACUUGAGGAUGAGCCCGCGGCCCAUUAGCUAGUUGGCAGGGUAACGGCCUACCAAGGCGAUGAUGGGUAGCUGGUCUGAGAGGACGAUCAGCCACACUGGAACUGAGACACGGUCCAGACUCCUACGGGAGGCAGCAGUGGGGAAUAUUGCGCAAUGGGCGAAAGCCUGACGCAGCAACGCCGCGUGGGGGAUGAAGGUUCUCGGAUUGUAAACCCCUUUCGACCGGAACGAAUUCCCUCCUGGUAAAUAAUCAGGAGGAUCGACGGUACCGGGAGAAGAAGCCACGGCUAACUCUGUGCCAGCAGCCGAGGUAAGACAGAGGUGGCGAGCGUUGUUCGGAUUUAUUGGGCGUAAAGCGAACGCA